AUUUCUUUCAACACAUUCCAAGUGGGUCAGAAUUUUACAUACACUCAAUUAGUAUUUGGUAGCAUUGCCUUUAAAUGUUUAACUUGGGUCAAACGUUUCGGGUAGCCUUUCACAAGCAUCCCACAAUAAGUUGGGUCAAUUUUUGACAAUUCCUCGACAGCUGGUGGAGCUGGUGUAACUGAGUCAGGUAAUGUUCAUCUCUAGGAGACAGAACGCGUCUCCUUCCUGAGCGGUAUGACGGCUGCGUGGUCCCAUGGUGAUUAUACUUGCGUAAUAUUGUUUGUACAGAUGAGCGUGGUACCUUCAGGCGUUUGGAAAUUGCUCCCAAGGAUGAACCAGACUUGUGGAGGUAUACAAUGUUUUUCCUGAGGUCUUGGCUGAUGUCUUUUGAUUUUCGCAUGAGGUCAAGCAAAGAGGCACUGAGUUUGAAGGCAUACAAGGUGAUCCCGUUGACCAUCCUCCUCCCUUACCUCUUCAACUAAUAUCCCAAAGACGUCACCCAUCAACAUGCACUGCAAAAUCAUUCUGGUUAUGGAUACGGAGAACAUCAGCACGCCAGAGGAUAUACACAUUGGACUCGGGGUCCUGCUGGGAGUUUACUUCAUAUUUACAUGUUUUUAUUCUGCUUUGCCUCUAAA